rnacentral:rRNA from 1 species
GCAUAACGCGAAGAACCUUACCUACUCUUGACAUCCAGAGAACUUAGCAGAGAUGCUUUGGUGCCUUCGGGAACUCUGAGACAGGUGCUGCAUGGCUGUCGUCAGCUCGUGUUGUGAAAUGUUGGGUUAAGUCCCGCAACGAGCGCAACCCUUAUCCUUUGUUGCCAGCGGUUCGGCCGGGAACUCAAAGGAGACUGCCAGUGAUAAACUGGAGGAAGGUGGGGAUGACGUCAAGUCAUCAUGGCCCUUACGAGUAGGGCUACACACGUGCUACAAUGGCGUAUACAAAGAGAAGCGACCUCGCGAGAGCAAGCGGACCUCAUAAAGUACGUCGUAGUCCGGAUUGGAGUCUGCAACUCGCCUACAUGAAGUCGGAGUUGCUAGUAAUCGCGAAUCAGAACGUCGCGGUGAAUGCGUUCCCGGGUCUUGUACACACCG